UACGGGGGGGGGCAAGCGUUUGUUCGGAAUUACUGGGCGUAAAGGGUGCGUAGGUGGCGCGCUAAGUCAGGUGUGAAAUUUCGGAGCUUAACUCCGAAACUGCAUUUGAUACUGGCGUGCUUGAGGACUGGAGAGGAGACUGGAAUUCAUGGUGUAGCAGUGAAAUGCGUAGAGAUCAUGAGGAAGACCAGUGGCGAAGGCGGGUCUCUGGACAGUUCCUGACACUGAGGCACGAAGGCCAGGGGAGCAAACGGA
rnacentral:rRNA from 1 species